CAUGUUGUGAUUUGUGACUCCAGAUUUAGCUCAAGGAGUGGCACGUGAAAAAACUCCAAGCCUGGAGAUAAGAGGAGCAUCUGUAUUAAAAACUGACCGGACUCCACAAGCUAGGAAGUAAGUGUGAAACGCCCAUGACAGGGAAAAAGUUUCUGAAGGUCAUCGUGGAGCCCCUUCUGGCAAUCCCUGGGCUGAGGAGCCUCAACUCUCGUUCAGAAUGUGACACGGAGAGUGGACGGUGCGCAUGACUGAUCAUAACCUUUGACAUGAUGUCCAAGAAAAUAAAUGACAAACAGGAUGCAAGACUAAAUGACAGAAUGGUUAAGCUUGGAAAUGGUUCGUCAAAAAUUUGGAUGUCCCCCCCCCACUCUUGAUAGCUU